AGUGAACGCUGGCGGUAGGCCUAACACAUGCAAGUCGAACGGCAGCACAGUAAGAGCUUGCUCUUACGGGUGGCGAGUGGCGGACGGGUGAGGAAUACAUCGGAAUCUACUUUUUCGUGGGGGAUAACGUAGGGAAACUUACGCUAAUACCGCAUACGACCUACGGGUGAAAGCAGUGGAUCUUCUGACCUUGCGCGAUUGAAUGAGCCGAUGUCGGAUUAGCUAGUUGGCGGGGUAAAGGCCCACCAAGGCGACGAUCCGUAGCUGGUCUGAGAGGAUGAUCAGCCACACUGGAACGGAGACACGGUCCAGACUCCUACGGGAGGCAGCAGUGGGGAAUAUUGGACAAUGGGCGCAAGCCUGAUCCAGCCAUACCGCGUGGGUGAAGAAGGCCUUCGGGUUGUAAAGCCCUUUUGUUGGGAAAGAAAAGCAGCAGGUUAAUACCCCGCUGUUCUGACGGUACCCAAAGAAUAAGCACCGGCUAACUUCGUG
rnacentral:rRNA from 1 species